GCGAACCGAGUCGUACAUGCCGUGCGGUCCGCUACGCAGUUACGUAGCUGCGCGGCUACGACGCUACGAGUUUGCCGAACUUUAACUUUCCUUGGUGAUUGUGUAGUGAGUGCUAUUUAGGAUACGGACAUCUUAAUGGUGACAGCGAAGCAGCAUCAUGUUCCACAUUACCCUGAUCUUCCUCACCUCAGUGUUCAACACAGGCGUGUGGUCGGACGGGCUGUCGCGCAUGGGGCCCGUGUUCACGGAGGAGCCGCCGGCGCUGGUUCGCUUCGCGCGCACGGCGGGCGCGCGCGUGGCGUGCGCGGCGC